UUCCACACGUACCCAUCCCGAACACGACCGUUAAGCCCUCUAGCGCCGAUGGUACUUGGACCGAAGGGUCCUGGGAGAGUAGGACGUUGCCAAGC
rnacentral:rRNA from 2 species